GACGAACGCUGGCGGCGUGCCUAAUACAUGCAAGUCGAGCGGAACCAAGGAAAAGCUUGCUUUAAAUUGGUUUAGCGGCGGACGGGUGAGUAACACGUAGGCAACCUACCCCUAAGCCCGGGAUAACCCACGGAAACGUGAGCUAAGACGGGAUAGAUGAUAGCCUCGCAUGAGGCAAUCAGGAAAGGCGGAGCAAUCUGACGCUUAGGGAUGGGCCUGCGGCGCAUUAGCUAGUUGGUGAGGUAACGGCUCACCAAGGCGACGAUGCGUAGCCGACCUGAGAGGGUGAUCGGCCACACUGGGACUGAGACACGGCCCAGACUCCUACGGGAGGCAGCAGUAGGGAAUCUUCGGCAAUGGACGAAAGUCUGACCGAGCAACGCCGCGUGAGUGAGGAAGGCCUUCGGGUCGUAAAACUCUGUUGCCAGGGAAGAAGGGAUGAGGGAGUAACUGCCCUGAUUUUGACGGUACCUGAGAAGAAAGCCCCGGCUAACUACGUGCCAGCAGCCGCCGUAAAAC
rnacentral:rRNA from 1 species